rnacentral:rRNA from 1 species
UACAGAGGUCCCAAGCGUUGUUCGGAUUCACUGGGCGUAAAGGGUGCGUAGGUGGUUUGGUAAGUUCGAUGUGAAAUCUCCGGGCUUAACCCGGAAAUGGCAUUGAAUACUAUUGAGCUGGAGGUUUGGAGGGGGGACUGGAAUUCUCGGUGUAGCAGUGAAAUGCGUAGAUAUCGAGAGGAACACCAGUGGCGAAGGCGAGUCCCUGGACAACACCUGACGCUGAGGCACGAAAGCUAGGGGAGCAAACAGG